rnacentral:rRNA from 1 species
AUUGAACGCUGGCGGCAGGCCUAACACAUGCAAGUCGAACGGUAACAGGAAGAAGCUUGCUUCUUUGCUGACGAGUGGCGGACGGGUGAGUAAUGUCUGGGAAACUGCCUGAUGGAGGGGGAUAACUACUGGAAACGGUAGCUAAUACCGCAUAACGUCGCAAGACCAAAAAGGGGGACCUUCGGGCCUCUUGCCAUCGGAUGUGCCCAGAUGGGAUUAGCUAGUAGGUGGGGUAACGGCUCACCUAGGCGACGAUCCCUAGCUGGUCUGAGAGGAUGACCAGCCACACUGGAACUGAGACACGGUCCAGACUCCUACGGGAGGCAGCAGUGGGGAAUAUUGCACAAUGGGCGCAAGCCUGAUGCAGCCAUGCCGCGUGUAUGAAGAAGGCCUUCGGGCUGUAAAGUACUUUCAGCGGGGAGGAAGGGAGUAAAGUUAAUACCUUUGCUCAUUGACGUUACCCGCAGAAGAAGCACCGGCUAACUCCGUG